UUAGCUCAGUGGUCAGAGCACGGUUCAUUUCUCACGAAGUGAAACGAGGUCGUGGGUUCGAAUCCCAUC
rnacentral:tRNA from 1 species